rnacentral:rRNA from 1 species
UACGUAGGUGACCAGCGUUGUCCGGAUUUACUGGGCGUAAAGAGCGCGCAGGCGGUCGUUCAAGUCGAGUGUGAAAGCCCCCGGCUCAACUGGGGAGGGUCAUUCGAUACUGAUCGACUGGAAGGCAGGAGAGGGAAGCGGAAUUCCCGGUGUAGUGGUGAAAUGCGUAGAUAUCGGGAAGAACACCAAUGGCGAAGGCAGCUCUCUGGGACGGUACUGACGCUGAGACGCGAAAGCGUGGGGAGCGAACAGG